rnacentral:rRNA from 1 species
GAUGAACGCUGGCGGCGUGCCUAAUACAUGCAAGUCGAGCGAAUGGAUUAAGAGCUUGCUCUUAUGAAGUUAGCGGCGGACGGGUGAGUAACACGUGGGUAACCUGCCCAUAGGACUGGGAUAACUCCGGGAAACCGGGGCUAAUACCGGAUAACAUUUUGAACCGCAUGGUUCGAAAUUGAAAGGCGGCUUCGGCGGUCACUUAUGGAUGGACCCGCGUCGCAUUAGCUAGUUGGUGAGGUAACGGCCCACCAAGGCAACGAUGCGUAGCCGACCUGAGAGGGUGAUCGGCCACACUGGGACUGAGACACGGCCCAGACUCCUACGGGAGGCAGCAGUAGGGAAUCUUCCGCAAUGGACGAAAGUCUGACGGAGCAACGCCGCGUGAGUGAUGAAGGCUUUCGGGUCGUAAAACUCUGUUGUUAGGGAAGAACAAGUGCUAGUUGAAUAAGCUGGCACCUUGACGGUACCUAACCAGAAAGCCACGGCUAACUACGUGCCAGCCGCCGCCGUAA